rnacentral:tRNA from 1 species
AAUAAGAUCAGCUAAACAAGCUCUCGGGCCCAUACCCCGAAAAUGUUGGUUCGAAACCCGCUCUUAUUA